UACGAGGGGGGCAAGCGUUGUUCGGAAUUAUUGGGCGUAAAGGGCGCGUAGGCGGCUGUACAAGUCAAAGGUGAAAUCCCUCGGCUCAACUGAGGAACUGCCUUUGAAACUGUACGGCUUGAGGCCGGGAGGGGGUAGCGGAAUUCCCAGUGUAGCGGUGAAAUGCGUAGAUACUGGGAGGAACACCAGUGGCGAAGGCGGCUACCUGGACCGGUUCUGACGCUGAGGCGCGAAAGCGUGGGUAGCAAACAGG
rnacentral:rRNA from 1 species